rnacentral:rRNA from 1 species
GGUGGGAUCACCCGCUGAACUUAGCAUAUCAA